rnacentral:rRNA from 1 species
GAUGAACGCUGGCGGCGUGCUUAAUACAUGCAAGUCGAACGGAAUACUAUGAGCUUGCUCCGAAGUAUUUAGUGGCGAACGGGUGAGUAUCGUCUGAGCAACCUGCCCCGACUAUUGGAAUGACACCGGGAAACCGGUGCUAAUACCGAAUACCUUCCUAUGACCGCAUGGUCGAUGGAAGAAAUGUUUUUUCUCUUCGGGAGGGGCUCGCGGUCCAUCAACUUGUUGGCGGGGUAACGGCCCACCCAGGCUACAACGGAUAGCUGGUCUGAUAGGACGAUCAGCCACACUGGAACUGACAGACGGUCCACACUCCUACCGGAGGCAGCAGUACAGGAAUCUUGCUCAAUGGACGAAAGUCUGACGCAUCGAACGCCACCGUGAGGGACUAAGGCUUUCUUAGUUGUUAGACUCUUUCGACAGGAACGAUUGUGACGGUACCUGUAGAAUAAGCACCGGCCAACUAUGUGCCACCAGCCGCGGUGAUACAUAGGGUGCGAGCAUUAUUCGGAUUUAUUGCGCGUAGAGAGCUCAUAGGCGGUGCAACAAGUCGGGUGUUAAACCCCCACGCUCAAUCUGGGGCCGCCACCCUAAACUGUUGUGACUAUAGUUUGGUAGAGGAUCACGGAAUUCCUGGUGUAUCGGUGUAAUACGCACAUAUCUGGAGAAACACAC